rnacentral:rRNA from 1 species
CGGUAAUUCCAGCUCCAAUAGCGUAUACUAAAGUUGUUGCAGUUAAAAAGCUCGUAGUUGGAUUUCUGCGGGGACGGAGCGGCCGGACGCAACUUGCGUCUCGAGCUAGCGCUUUCCCCGCAUCCUGCCGCGAACCGUGCUACCAUUAGUUUGGUGGCGCCGGGGAUCGGCUCGAUUACUUUGAGAAAAAUAGAGUGUUCGAAGCAGGCCACACGCCUUGAAUAAGUUAGCAUGGAAUAAUGACUAAGGACUUUGGUUCUUUUCGUUGGUGUUCGGGACUGAAGUAAUGAUUGAUAGGGACAGUUGGGGCGGUCCGUAUUCCAAAGCGAGAGGUGAAAUUCUUAGACCUUCGGAAGACAAACAGCUGCGAAAGCGUUCCGCAAGGAUGUUCCCUUUGAUCAAGAACGAAAGUUGGGGGAUCGAAGACGAUCAGAUACCGUCGUAGUCUCAACUAUAAACUAUACCAGCUAGGGAUCGGCCAACGUUUAAUUAUUCGACUUGAUCGGCACCUUAUGAGAAAUCAGAGCAUCUGGGUUCCGGGGGGAGUAUGGUCGCAAGGCUGAAACUUAAAGGAAUUGACGGAAGGGCACCACCAGCCGUGGAGCCUGUGGCUUAAUUUGACUCAACACGGGAAAACUUACCAGGUCCGGACAUAGUAAGGAUUGACAGAUUGAUAGCUCUUUCUUGAUUCUGUGGGUGGUGGUGCAUGGCCGUUCUUAGUUGGUGGAGUGAUUUGUCUGGUUAAUUCCGUUAACGAACGAGACCCCAGCCUGCUAAAUAGCGCGGCUGAGCUUUGCUCGGUGCGAGCUUCUUAGAGGGACUAUGAUGCGCGAUAGCACAUGGAAGUUUGGGGCAAUAACAGGUCUGUGAUGCCCUUAGAUGUUCUGGGCCGCACACGGGCUACACUGGCGCCUGCAACGAGCAUAUCAGCUGGCCCGAGAGGGUCUUGGCUAAUCUUUUGAACCGGCGCCGUGCUUGGGAUUGACCAUUGCAAUUGUUGGUCAUGCAACGAGGAAUGCCUUGUAAACGCGAGUCAUCAGCUCGCAUUGAAUACGUCCCUGCCCUUUGUACACACCGCCCGUCGCUCCUACCGAUGAAUGUUCCGAUGAAAUUUUCGGAGAGCGCCAGAGAACGGGGCUCCGCCUUGCAGAUCUGGAGGCUCAAAGUCACUUAAAUCUGAACAUUUCGAGGAAGGAGAAGUCGUAACAAGGUAACC